ensembl:misc_RNA 7SK 7SK RNA
GAAUGUGAGGGCCAUCUGGCUGCGGCAUCUGUCACCCCAUUGAUCUCCAGGGCUGAUCGGCUGACCUGGCUGGCGAGACGGGUGUCCCCUUCCUCUCUCACACUCCGUGGCAUCUCUCCCAAAGCUGCACACUCUGUUGAAGAGGACGACCUUCCCGGAUAGAGGAGAAGACCGUUCUUCGGUCAAGGGCAUACGAGUAACUUUGCUCCCCUGCUAGAACUUCCAAACAAGCUCUCAGUGUCUACUUAUAGAACAUGGAGGGUAGUCAAGCUUCCAAGACUCCAGGCACAUCCAAAUGAGGCAUUGUACAGGGCAGUCUGCCUUUCUAA